AUUGAACGCUAGCGGCAGGCCUAACACAUGCAAGUCGAGCGGGUGGCGGACGUGUGAGUAAUUACUGGGAAACUGCCCGAUGGAUGGGGAUAACUACUGGAAACGGUAGCUAAUACCGCAUACCUUCCGAUGUGCCCAGAUGGGAUUUGCUAGUUGGUGGGGUAACGGCUCACCAAGGCGCCGAUCCCUAGCUGGUCUGAGAUGAUGACCAGUCACACUGGAACUGAGACACGGUCCAGACUCAUUCGGGAGGCAGGAGUGGGGAAUAUUGCACAAUGGGCGCAAGCCUGAUUCAGCCAUGCCGCGUGUAGGAAGAAGGCCUUCGGGUUGUAAAUUACUUUCAGCGGGGAGGCGUUACCCGCAGAAGAAGCACCGGCUAACUCCGUGCCAGCAGCCGCGGUAAUUC
rnacentral:rRNA from 1 species